rnacentral:rRNA from 1 species
UUGUAGUCUGCAACUCGACUACAUGAAGCUGGAAUCGCUAGUAAUCGCGAAUCAGAAUGUCGCGGUGAAUACGUUCCCGGGUCUUGUACACACCGCCCGUCACACCAUGGGAGUCAGUAACGCCCGAAGCCGGUGACCCAACCAAUUCAGGGAGGGAGCCGUCGAAGGUGGGACCGAUAACUGGGGUGAAGUCGUAACAAGGUACC